rnacentral:rRNA from 1 species
UACGUAGGGUGCAAGCGUUAUCCGGAAUUAUUGGGCGUAAAGAGCUCGUAGGCGGUUUGUCGCGUCUGCUGUGAAAACUGGAGGCUCAACCUCCAGCCUGCAGUGGGUACGGGCAAACUAGAGUGCGGUAGGGGAGAUUGGAAUUCCUGGUGUAGCGGUGGAAUGCGCAGAUAUCAGGAGGAACACCGGUGGCGAAGGCGGGACUCUGGGCCGAUACUGACGCUGAGGAGCGAAAGCGUGGGGAGCAAACAGG